rnacentral:rRNA from 1 species
GACGAACGCUGGCGGCGUGCCUAACACAUGCAAGUCGAACGAGAAUCUUUGGAAUGAUUCUUUCGGGAUGAAUUCCAAAGAGGAAAGUGGCGGACGGGCAAGUAGCGCGUGAGUAACCUGCCCAUAAGAGGGGGAUAAUCCAUGGAAACGUGGACUAAUACCGCAUAUUGUAGUUAAGUUGCAUGACUUGAUUAUGAAAGAUUUAUCGCUUAUGGAUGGACUCGCGUCAGAUUAGAUAGUUGGUGAGGUAACGGCUCACCAAGUCAACGAUCUGUAGCCGAACUGAGAGGUUGAUCGGCCGCAUUGGGACUGAGACACGGCCCAGACUCCUACGGGAGGCAGCAGUGGGGAAUAUUGCGCAAUGGGGGCAACCCUGACGCAGCAACGCCGCGUGCAGGAAGAAGGUCUUCGGAUUGUAAACUGUUGUCGCAAGGGAAGAAGACAGUGACGGUACCUUGUGAGA